GCAGUCGAGGGGUAUAGGUUUUCGGACCUAGAGGCCGGCGCACGGGUGCGUAACGCGUAUGCAAUCUACCUUUUACAGAGGGAUAGCCCAGAGAAAUUUGGAUUAAUACCUCAUAGUAUUAUUGAAUGGCAUCAUUUAAUAAUUAAAGUCACAACGGUAAAAGAUGAGCAUGCGUCCCAUUAGCUUGUUGGUAAGGUAACGGCUUACCAAGGCAACGAUGGGUAGGGGUCCUGAGAGGGAGAUCCCCCACACUGGUACUGAGACACGGACCAGACUCCUACGGGAGGCAGCAGUGAGGAAUAUUGGUCAAUGGGCGCAAGCCUGAACCAGCCAUGCCGCGUGCAGGAUGACGGUCCUAUGGAUUGUAAACUGCUUUUGUACAGGAAGAAACAGUUCUACGUGUAGAACCUUGACGGUACUGUAAGAAUAAGGAUCGGCUAACUCCGUGCCAGCAGCCGCGGUAAUACGGAGGAUCCAAGUGUUAUCCGGAAUCAUUGGGUUUAAAGGGUCCGUAGGCGGUUUUGUAAGUCAGUGGUGAAAGCCCAUCGCUCAACGGUGGAACGGCCAUUGAUACUGCAAGACUUGAAUUAUUGGGAAGUAACUAGAAUAUGUAGUGUAGCGGUGAAAUGCUUAGAGAUUACAUGGAAUACCAAUUGCGAAGGCAGGUUACUACCAAUAUAUUGACGCUGAUGGACGAAAGCGUGGGGAGCGAACAGGAUUAGAUACCCUGGUAGUCCACGCCGUANACGAUGGAUACUAGCUGUUCGGAGCAAUCUGAGUGGCUAAGCGAAAGUGAUAAGUAUCCCACCUGGGGAGUACGUUCGCAAGAAUGAAACUCAAAGGAAUUGACGGGGGCCCGCACAAGCGGUGGAGCAUGUGGUUUAAUUCGAUG
rnacentral:rRNA from 1 species